rnacentral:rRNA from 1 species
GACGAACCGUCCAAUCGUUAUUCGGAAUUACUGGGCUUAAAGGGUUCGUAGGCGGCCUUGUAAGUUAGAUGUGAAAUCCCACGGCUCAACCGUGGAAGUGCAUUUCAUACUGCAAGGCUUGAGGGAGACAGAGGUAAGCGGAACUGAUGGUGGAGCGGUGAAAUGCGUUGAUAUCAUCAGGAUCACCGGUAGCGAAAGCGGCUUACUGGGUCUCUUCUGACGCUGAGGAACGAAAGCCAGGGGAGCGAACGGG